CUACACGGGUGACAGGUUGGGAGCAUGCGGCUAUACCCCCCGUGCCAUUCUCUCUGUCUGUAAAAAAAGUGGCGUUUGUGUGAACUUUGAACGCUAUAGCAGCCAUAUAGUGACCCAAUUUUAACAUUUAAACCAUAGGGAAAACGAUGGUUUCGUAUUUUGCGCAUAAACAAUUGCAUGGACAUAAAAAAUGCUAAGCACCUAAAUUAUUGAUUGAACAAUUGCAUAUCAAAUCGAACUAUUUUGGUGUUAAAAUUGGACCGUCGACAGCUAGCGCUAAUAAUUCACACA